rnacentral:rRNA from 1 species
UACGAAGGGGGCUAGCGUUGCUCGGAAUCACUGGGCGUAAAGCGCACGUAGGCGGCUUGUUAAGUCAGGGGUGAAAUCCUGGAGCUCAACUCCAGAACUGCCUUUGAUACUGGCGAGCUUGAGUCCGGGAGAGGUGAGUGGAACUGCGAGUGUAGAGGUGAAAUUCGUAGAUAUUCGCAAGAACACCAGUGGCGAAGGCGGCUCACUGGCUCGGUACUGACGCUGAGGUGCGAAAGCGUGGGGAGCAAACAGG